UUUUCUUAAAUAGUUUAUAGAAGAAUAUGAAAUUGUGGAUUUUAAGGUUAAUUUUAAGAAAAU
rnacentral:tRNA from 1 species